rnacentral:lncRNA from 1 species
AAAGCCCCAUGCUGGUUGUUUUACUUUUGAGUGAGAAGGAAGGGGAAAUAAAUCUCUCACAAUAGAUAAAGAGAAGAUAGUUCAUGUUUUUUUUUAUCACCUUUUUCUUUUCCUUUAUUUUAAAGUCUAAAUGGGGCCAUUUGUCUUUAAUGUGUUUUACCUAUCAAGAAAUACGUGAGCAAUUCUAUAUCAAUUAAAAAAUGUGAACAGUUCUGCAGAAAAAUGUUCAGUUCAAGUGGCUUAAGACAGGUUCCAUUUGUUCAACAAUCUAUACUUUUUAAAAGGCUAUACUUUUCUUGAGAGUUCCUUAAGUUCAUAGCAUGAAGAGGGAUGAGUUGCUGAUCCUAUAUACCAAUGUAAACACAUUGUAUGGGAAUACAAGGGGCUGUGCUGCCUCCCUGUCCAAAUACUGCAUGCAGGUAACACCGAACAAGAGGUGGAGUGAUAACAUGGACAGACUGCCUGGAACACAGAUACCAUCUCCCAGGGCCCAGGAUUCGGAGGCCUAGAGGUAACGCUGGUGUUUCUAGGCUUUGCAACAGUGAAGGACCACUGCCACCUGUGGACAGCAGCAAGCAUUAGCGACAUGCUGCAGGCCGAGUGAAGUGUCAGUGUUGUAUUUUUACAGUGACAACAAGGCAACCUGGUGAACCAGAUAUUCCAAAAUUUUCCCAAUAAGUGUUUUAUGAGUACCUCCAUGGCCUGGGGUAGGACUUUUCACUGCAAAUCAAUAAGCAUCCUUCAGACCAUAUGUAUGUAGGACAUGGUCAUCAUGUGUUAAUAUAAAACCACAGAGAAGGCAUCUUAAAUUCUAAUGCCUUUGAGGGGCAGUUAGAUCAUGUAGAUGUAAAAGAAUAAGAGUGAUCAGGACAGCAAAUUGGAGACCGCAUGCCCUACCUAGAUGCAUUCAGUUUUGUUUAUUUAUUUACUUUUUAAAGAAUGUACUCCAUCAAGCAACAUGCGUUUGAAGCUCAGAUUCAGCCUGCAACCAUCUAGCACCAGAGGGUGAGAAGAGAUUCAAUUCAGUCUAUACCAUAUGAAUAAACCUCU